rnacentral:sRNA from 1 species
CCAUAGCUCCGAUAGCAGCGGCAUCCCCUGCUUUUUGGGCAGGGAUAUAGCGUCCCGAUGCUUCGGGAGCGAAA